GACAGCCAGGCCCGAUUCGAUUGUAAGAAACUAGUCGAUGGUACAGCGCAAUGGAGGCAUGAGCGAAACAACAAUUAUGUUGACAAUCCAGCUGGUUUUGGUGUUACAGCUCAUGAUCUUAUAUGCACAACAUGUUGGACCCAAGACCAAGAUACAACACAAAUGCAUCUACUUCAAAUCUUAGCAGAAAAUGUGUGCUUUGCAGUAGAACACUAGAGCCUAGAACACGUUCACAUCAGCUCAUGUCCCUGAGAACUAACACUCAACAUCAUAUUAACAUCAGGAACAUAAUUGUGGAACGACUAACUCCAUUAGAGGUUACUGCAAAUGACUACAUCUGUGGGGCUUGUCACUCAUUAUUGCAAAGAGAUACCACACCUACUUCACAAGACUCUCCAGAUAUGCCAACCGGUGCCCCGGUAGGUCACCAACAAGUUUGUGUUGGAUGUGGUUGUUCAUUAUUGCGAACUUGAAGUCAUUGUUUGGAUACAGAGAAUAAUCAAGAUAUAUUAAACAUUGUUCGAAAUUGGAUUCAACCCAGAGAGAUUCGUCCUUCAGAUCUUCUUUGCCAUAGAUACUAUCAGAGAGCACGAAUUACUACAGUUGGUGCUUAUUUAAUGAAGCUGAGGACCGGUGAUUCAGAUGACAGAAUAGCUACAUUACUUGGCAUUUCAAGGAGUACUCUUACAAAAUAUGUAAUGAAAGCACGCAGUAUGAUGGAGGAACAUUUCGUACCAGCACAUUUAGGGUUACAACAUAUUAGUAGAGAGGAAGUAGCCCAAAGAAACCUUUAUGUUCCAGUCUCUUUUCGGGAAGCCAGGAAACGAUUUACCACAAAGAAAGGCUAUUGUCAUCAUGGAUGGUACAUACAUACAUUUAUGUGCAAAAAAGUAGCAAUUAUGCAUACCAAAAAAAAAACUUAUUCCCUAUACAAAUAUCGGAAUCUCGUUAAACCAUUUAUGGUACUUUGUUGUGAUGGCGACAUCAUUGAUGUAUUGGGCCCAUAUUUAAUAGAAAAUGUAGAACAUGACCAUUAAUAAAUAAUAAGUACCUACAUACGUAUUUUCAUUUAUACCUACAUAACUGCCUACUUACCCUUGGGUCGGAAUAAAGAUAUUUUUGGAUUUAAAUGUAAGUAAAAUAUAUUAACUUCUUUUUAAAAAAA